GAUGAACGCUGGCGGCGUGCCUAAUACAUGCAAGUCGAACGCUGGAGAUCUAGCUUGCUAGAUCGAAGGAGUGGCGAACGGGUGAGUAAUACAUAAGCAACCUACCCACGAAGACUGGGAUAAUCUCUGGAAACGGGGACUAAUACCGGAUAGGUAAUCGGAAGGCAUCUUCUGGUUAUUAAAGGUUAAAAACACUGGUGGAUGGGCUUAUGGCGCAUUAGUUAGUUGGUGAGGUAACGGCCCACCAAGACGAUGAUGCGUAGCCGGCCUGAGAGGGUGAACGGCCACAUUGGGACUGAGACACGGCCCAGACUCCUACGGGAGGCAGCAGUAGGGAAUUUUCGGCAAUGGGGGCAACCCUGACCGAGCAACGCCGCGUGAGUGAAGACGGCCUUCGGGUUGUAAAGCUCUGUUGUAAGGGAAGAACGGUAGAUAGAGAAUAUCUAAGUGACGGUACCUUACCAGAAAGCCACGGCUAACUACGUGCCAGCAGCCGCGGUAAUACGUAGGUGGCGAGCGUUAUCCGGAAUUAUUGGGCGUAAAGGGUGCGUAGGCGGCCUGUUAAGUAAGUGGUUAAAUUGUUGGGCUCAACCCAAUCCAGCCACUUAAACUGGCAGGCUAGAGUAUUGGAGAGGCAAGUGGAAUUCCAUGUGUAGCGGUAAAAUGCGUAGAUAUAUGGAGGAACACCAGUGGCGAAGGCGGCUUGCUAGCCAAAGACUGACGCUCAUGCACGAAAGCGUGGGGAGCAAAUAGG
rnacentral:rRNA from 1 species